rnacentral:rRNA from 1 species
AUUGAACGCUGGCGGCAGGCCUAACACAUGCAAGUCGAGCGAGCGGCGGACGGGUGAGUAAUGUCUGGGAAACUGCCUGAUGGAGGGGGAUAACUACUGGAAACGGUAGCUAAUACCGCAUACCAUCAGAUGUGCCCAGAUGGGAGUAGCUAGUAGGUGGGGUAACUGCUCAACUAGGCGACGAUCCCUAGCUGGUCUGAGAGGAUGACCAGCCACACUGUAAGUUGGACACGGUCCAGACUCCUGCGGGAGGCAGCGGUGGGGAAUAUUGCACAAUGGGCGCAAGCCUGAUGCAGCCAUGCCGCGUGUGUGAAGAAGGCCUUCGGGUGUUAAAGCACUUUCAGCGAGGGGGCGUUACCCGCAGAAGAAGCACCGGCUAACUCCGUGCCAGCAGCCGCGGUAAUAC